GGAGGUGGUUGUGUCCCGCCAUAAAUUUAUAUUGGCUGAGAUAAAGAAGAACGUUUAUGGAUAACUAGCAAGCAGAGAGCUGUUUAGACUCACAAUGUCAAGAAGCGAAUUGCUAGCAAAUGUUAACACGCCAGGAACAAAGUCAGCUCAGAGGAUUCCUUUGAGAAAUCUGCAGACUGACAUGCUGCAGCACUCUGCCUUGUCCACCACCAAACCUCUGUCCAGCAAUGUUACUUUCAAGAUGAAGGUUGAAAUGGCUAAUCACAACGCAGAAAUAUUACCAAGUUCUCCAGCUGCCUGUAGCACACUUAAGAAUGGGAUUCCUCUCAGAGAAGCCACGCUGUACAAGGACAGAGGACAGCACAGUGUAGCUUUUGAAGCUGUGGAAGAUACACUUGCUUU